rnacentral:rRNA from 1 species
GCAUGGCUGUCGUCAGCUCGUGUUGUGAAAUGUUGGGUUAAGUCCCGCAACGAGCGCAACCCUUAUCCUUUGUUGCCAGCGGUCCGGCCGGGAACUCAAAGGAGACUGCCAGUGAUAAACUGGAGGAAGGUGGGGAUGACGUCAAGUCAUCAUGGCCCUUACGACCAGGGCUACACACGUGCUACAAUGGCGCAUACAAAGAGAAGCGACCUCGCGAGAGCAAGCGAACCUCAUAAAGUGCGUCGUAGUCCGGAUUGGAGUCUGCAACUCGACUCCAUGAAGUCGGAAUCGCUAGUAAUCGUGGAUCAGAAUGCCACGGUGAAUACGUUCCCGGGCCUUGUACACACCGCCCGUCACACCAUGGGAGUGGGUUGCAAAAGAAGUAGGUAGCUUAACCUUCGGGAGGGCGCUUACCACUUUGUGAUUCAUGACUGGGGUGAAGUCGUAACAAGGUAACCGUAGGGGAACCUGCGGUUGGAUCACCUCCUUACCUUAAAGAA